AUGUGUGUGCCAAAAGAAAGGGGAGGUAUGGAUUUCCGAGAUGUUCAUAGUUUCAACUUGGCAACGCUAGCCAAACAGUGCUGGAGACUGAUUGAGAAUUAUGAUUCACUUAGUUCUCGGGUGCUUAGAGUAAGGUACUACCCUUCUGGUGACCUGUUGAACUGUGAGUUAAAGAAGGGAUCAUCGUAUGUAUGGCAGAGUAUUUGGGCAGGUAUACAAACAUUCAAAAAGGGAUGUAUUUGGAGAGUUGGGAACGGUAAUAAGAUAAACAUAUGAAAUGAUUGUUGGAUCCCAAACAGUGCCUCUAUGAAGAUAAUUACAGUCAAAGGGAAUCAAGUCUUGACGAACGUGUGCGAUCUGAUCAAUCCUACUACCGGAGAGUGGGAUGAAGUCCUCAUAAGGGAAACUUUUUGGCAAGUUGAUGCGAACAGAAUAUUACAAAUACCCAUAUUUCAUGAGAAAACGGAGGACUUUGUAGCAUGGCACCUAACAAAGAAUGGAAUCUUUACUGUGAGAUCUGCCUAUUAUAAACAGUGGGAAGAAAAUUUUGACCCAAAAGGCUCAGGCACGGGGCACUUCAGCUCGGCACCACGCCCAGUAUGGAGGAACUUGUGGAACUUGAGACUGCCUGGGAAAGUGAAAUUUUUUGUUUGGCGUUGUCUGCAUAACACCAUCCCUUGCUUUAGUGUCCUAGCUAACUGUCAUGUGGGCAGUGUUUCCCAAUGCCCCAUGUGCAAAGCCGGUGCAGAGAAUGAAGCCCACCUUCAAAUUUGA
rnacentral:rRNA from 1 species